UGCCAAAUUGGUAGGAAGUCGGUCAGAUUUGAAGAUUAGAGAUCUAAACCCCGUUCAAGAUUUCGAAACUAUGUUGGCCAAGAGGUCUAGCUCGGCAUGGGUUCUGAAGGCAACUGAAGAGAUGAAGAAUUACACGACUGCUUUGAUAGAAAAUUCCCCUGAAGGAAACUAUUACCAGAAGGUGCUGGAGUGUUUCGUUGCUCUGCGGAAGGCCUGUAUAAUUGAACAAGAGCCGAAUGAAUUUAACCAGUUUCUGGCUGCGCUUUACGAGAGGUUGAAGGCGGUGGAUGCGUUGUCAAGUUCUUUCAGCUUAUCGCGUCCAAGAAUGUUUUGCUUAUAAGCAAAGAAGAAGCAUCUGACAGCGAUGUGACGGAAGAGAUGGCGAGAAGCUUCUUGGUGAAAACAGAAGCAUCCUCUCAGUAGCAUCCACCAUGCUAGCAGCUGUGUGGUCUCUGCGAUGGAUUCGGGUGGGAACAUUUUGUGGUUUCAAAUUCUCCUGCGCCACCAGCAUGAACGCUCGCCUGCGAGGGAAUGUUGGGACCCAAGCCGUGGAGGUGAUUGACUGGCUUUGAAUCCAACAAUUGCAAAUUGUGGUGUCGAUGAUUUCUGAUGGAUAAAACAUAUUCGCAUGUCCCACGAGUACUUCACCUUUCGUAUCUAAGCACUCUAAUGGAAUAUCCCAAAGUUAGUGAGGCCUAGUUUUGUCAAGACCCAAUGCUUCAAGGCGUCAAGGUAAUAACCAUAUCAGUUCCUUCACCGGGAAAGAAAGAUGUCGGAAGAACCAUAUUCACCUUCUGGUCAAACAAAGAGUGUUCAAUUGCAAUGUUAAGUUAUUACCAAGAAAAGAGAAAUUUCUUAUUCUAAAGGAUGGGAUCAAUUCUGAAGAUUUUUUCUUGGCAAGAAACAUAGAAGAAUAAGUUAAAAGUAGAACCAUCUUUCAAGGCUGACUGUGUAGCUCCAUAACUUUGACCACACCCCAGACAAAAGGGUAAACUAUUUUCAGAUAAAGUUUGCUUUCUCAAAAUAAUAGGAUCUCCAUAUGUUCAAAGUUCAGACUGUUUCA